rnacentral:rRNA from 1 species
CCCUUAGAUGUUCUGGGCCGCACGCGCGCUACGCUGAUGCAUUCAACGAGUUCCUACCUUGGCCGAGAGGCCUGGGCAAUCUUUUGAACUUGCAUCGUGAUAGGGAUAGAUUAUUGCAAUUAUUAAUCUUGAACGAGGAAUUCCUAGUAAACGCAGAUCAUCAAUCUGCAUUGAUUACGUCCCUGCCCUUUGUACACACCGCCCGUCGCACCUACCGAUUGAAUGGUCCGGUGAAGCCUCGGGAUUGUGGUUAGUUUCCUUCAUUGGAAGUUAGCCGCGAGAACUUGUCUAAACCUUAUCAUUUAGAGGAAGGUGAAGUCGUAACA